GUCGCUCGAUUUGCUCGAUCAUAUAUAAUUCAUGAUCGAUAACCGAUGCUUUCUCCCUUAUUCGAGCAUUGAAAAUGGCACCAUUGAUCUUAUGCUGCUUAACAUCAUCGGGAGUGCCAAAAGACUCUUUCAACACCUUGAGCAUAUUUUCUAGCUGAGCUUUUUCACACUUUCGACUAAACUCGUUGUUCAUGGCAGCCUGUAUUAUGCAACGCACCA
rnacentral:lncRNA from 1 species